UACGUAGGGGGCAAGCGUUGUCCGGAAUUAUUGGGCGUAAAGAGCGUGUAGGCGGUCCGGUAAGUCAGCUGUGAAAGUCAAGGGCUCAACCCUUGAAAGCCGGUGGAUACUGUCGAGCUCGAGUCCGGAAGAGGCGAGUGGAAUUCCUGGUGUAGCGGUGAAAUGCGCAGAUAUCAGGAGGAACACCAAUGGCGAAGGCAGCUCGCUGGGACGUGACUGACGCUGAGACGCGAAAGCGUGGGGAGCAAACAGG
rnacentral:rRNA from 1 species